GAUGAACGCUAGCGGCAGGCCUAACACAUGCAAGUCGAGGGGUAGAGGUUGCUUGCAACCUUGAGACCGGCGCACGGGUGCGUAACGCGUAUACAAUCUGCCUCGCACUGAGGGAUAGCCCAGAGAAAUUUGGAUUAAUACCUCAUAGUAUCUUUUCCCGGCAUCGGGAGAUUAUUAGAGUUCCAACGGUACAAGAUGAGCAUGCGUCCCAUUAGCUAGUUGGUAUGGUACCGGCAUACCAAGGCAAUGUUGGGUAGGGGUCCUGAGAGGGGGAUCCGCCACGCUGGUGCUGAGACACGGACCAGACUGCGACGGGGGACAGCAGUGAGGAAUAUUGGUCAAUGGGGGCAGGCCUGAACCAGCCAUGCCGCGUGCAGGAUGAAGCAUCUAUGGUGUGUAAACUGCUUUUAUACAAGAAGAAACACCGGUUCGUGAACCGGCUUGACGGUACCGUAAGAAUAAGGAUCGGCUAACUCCGUGCCAGCAGCCGCGGUAA
rnacentral:rRNA from 1 species